rnacentral:rRNA from 1 species
CGCAAGCCUGACGGAGCAAUACCGCGUGGGGGAUGACGGUCUGUGGAUUGUAAACCCCUUUUCUCUAGGAAGAAGUUCUGACGGUACUAGAGGAAUCAGCAUCGGCUAACUCCGUGCCAGCAGCCGCGGUAAGACGGAGGAUGCAAGCGUUAUCCGGAAUUAUUGGGCGUAAAGCGUCCGUAGGCGGUUUAGAAAGUCAGUUGUUAAAGCCCACAGCUCAACUGUGGAUGGGCAAUUGAAACUACUAGACUAGAGAGUGGUAGGGGUAGAGGGAAUUCCUAGUGUAGCGGUGAAAUGCGUAGAUAUUAGGAAGAACACCAGUGGCGAAGGCGCUCUACUGGGCCAUUACUGACGCUGAUGGACGAAAGCUAGGGGAGCG